UCAGCUGUUAAACGCAGACGUUUGGGAUUCCUGCUGGAGGGGGCGGGACAUGUGCAUACAGCCGCCAUCUUGGGCGUCACGGGAUUCUAUUCAGGAUUCUUUAAGUGAGGCGUCUCCUGUUAAAACGUCUCUGACAGGAUCCUCUCAGUUUGUCUCUUACACUGUAAAUUCACUCGUUCACUGUGUUUGUUUGUAACUAGAAGAGCUCACUGACCCUAAAUUGUCCAUCAUUUUCACUAAAACUGCCAAUAUUCGACAUCUACACAGUUGAUUUCUCUCCAAGUUCACACAAGUUACCAGCCGAUGCAUCCUGGGUAAAAUGGGCGUGUCAAGAACACUUCUGGGAAUUUUAACCUUUCUUGCCAAAAUGCAGACUUGUAUACUGGGACAGAACUUUGGCCACAAAAGAGACGUUUCACAAGAACACAAGUACAGACGGGAACACGGGUUGAGAAAGGCCCCGAGUUUCGAUCUUUCGCACUUUCUGGUGAGAAAGAACUGAGUUGGAGGUUUUUUCUUGGGAUUAUGAAAGAUGCUGGAGCCGUGAGGAUCAAGUGGGAAAAGAUUUUGACGUGUUUGGACGCGGUUGUUCUUUCACAUAGAGACAAAGCAACCAGCAGCGCCGGGACCAGAUCGGCUCGGCCGGAGGAAAGGCCUGUCAAAUAAAAAGUGAAUGUACUCACAGCUCUUCUCCGUCUGCAGCUCUGGAGUCCUGAACCAGGUAGACCGAGCCGAAGCUCCCCCGGCCCAGACUCUGCAGGAUGCUGUACCGCUUAGCAACCAGGCCGCAGCUGCCAGGGGGCGGAGCCUGGCCUGACUCCACCUCCUUGAACCUCAGCAUCCUGUCAGUUCACCUGUGGAACAGAGGACAGUUUAACCAGGAGCCCAGACUGAUCCUGGACCCUCUGAGGGGACACUGGUACUGCUAGUACUAAUACUACUGCUGCUACUACCCAACAAGUACUGUUAGUAGUAAUAACAAGAAAAUACUAUUAUUAUUAUUAUACAGCACAAAGAAUGAUUGUUUCAGCAUGCUAGUAUUUAAUUUAUGUAUUUAUACUCUGUAUGUGCUUUCUAUGUCUUCAGUUUGCACCUGAACGCAGCACAGUGUCAUCUUAGCUGCUUCUCUUCCCUCACUUCAGUGAUUUGCACGUCCUGUAUUAGGUGUUUUAAAUAUUGCCUGACAGUGAAAUAUAAACACGUCGUCCUGGAUGAUAUUUUUUGUAUGUGCACUGUGGAGGAACCAAUAUGCAAAUCAAUAAAAGGCAAAAAGGCUUAAUAACAAUCUGUUGUAUUUAAUAAGAUCAGAUUUUUUAAUGUAACAUCUCAACCUGCAAAGCCAAAAAGCUGUCAAAUAUAAUAAAAAGUACAAUAUUUGCCUUUGACAUCUGGUGGGGUUGAAGCAUAACGUGGCAUAAUACUCCAAAUUAAAUUGAAAUGCAGUAAAAAAUACUGUAGUUAGUUACUUUCCAACAGUUAACAGUUUGUUAGAGUCGUUAAGAUUUCGUAAAGAUUUCUCACUUUGCAUAUCAAGAUAUUAAGAAAUAGAUAACAAAAAUAUCCAAAUCUUAAAAUCUAAAAGCAGUGAAGUACAGUAUUUUACAGUCUGAACAGAAAUGUAAUGAAGUAUUCGUAAAUUAGAUUAGUAAUAAUGAGUGCAGGUAGAGCCGACAUGGCACGGAUGCAAAACUAAAAUAUUAAUGUAGAUAUAAGGAGAUAUAUCAGUCCGUGCUUAUAUUCAAAUUAUAAUAAAACACGUGUAAUUAUAUUAUAACAGUAGAUAUUAAAGGUUUUGCCACCGCUUCACUCUCCACUCUUUAUUUUGAAAAAUGUUCAUGUGGAGAAAGAAUCAUUUUAUUUUGUUAAGUUGUAACCGGAUCCUGAAAGUUAACUUGUGUCCACUUAAUGCGAGGAUGUCCGAUAAUAGAAACACGGUAUUUUAGAGGACUUUUAAUGAGUUCAGUCGCGCAUUAAACAGGAAAAUCACAUUAAAUAACCCGCUAACCGGUUUAUCUACCGGCUGUUUAACCGUUAAUCAGCUGAUCGAUGUUUGAGUGACAGAAACUGACGGAAAAUAACGAGACUAAAAAUGUCUGCGUCCGAUAAAAGACGAAGAUGAAGCGUCGUCCCACAAAAGAUGAUUUAAAUGAACUGGUUUCGGUGAAAUAAACAGGUUUGUUCCAGCAGGUGGCGCCGGUUCCUCACUUCAGAUUCUUCUGAGCUGCCUGGAAACCCGCACGACCUCAAACAGGAGGACUUGGAUCAGCUGCUGCUCUCCCACUCAUCUCAACAUCAUCAUGAAGCCUGCUGACGGUCGGCUGCUCCAAUAUUCACAAGCACCACCAGCAGCUGCUGAGCUCAGGAAAUGAAGCGGCCUCAAGGGGGACGAGAGGCCGCCGUGACUCAUACUUCCCAUCAUGCCCUCCCCUCCUUCAGCCGAACACUUUCCUUCCAGCCUACAGAGCAGCUGUGUUCGGAUCCGGUGUGUCUCAGAGCCAGAGUCACUUCCUACUUUCACUCACCUGCAACUUGAUUUUUUUUGUCUUUAUUUUUUUUAUUGACGACUGAUCCAUUAAAAAUA